CUACAGACAGCGACGACAUACAGGCAUAUAACGGGCUACUGCAGUGUGUAUGUAAGGAGCUAGCGGAGUGGUAUUUCCAAGAUGGCCGUGCUGUGCUGGCGGCCUGCUGUCACCUGGCUGUGGACAACACUGAGCUAGCCAUGGCCAGUCUGAUCCGGGGRAAUGAGCUGGAGCUGGCUGUGUGUGUAGGGCUGGUGUUGGGAGAAUCAGCCAAUCAGGCCACUCACUACGUCCUGGAGCUACUAGCCAGGAAGUACAUGACSACACCCACCUGGUAAGAGCCAAUGAGAGCUAAUGAACAUGACAGGCUAGAUUAUAUAUAUAUCUUCUCCAUAUGAUUGUGAAUAUACAGAGUGCAWUUMUUUAUCAUCUCCAUCCUCUCAUUUCUUGUAGCUUUUCAUCAGUUGGA